GACGGAGGGUGCUAGCGUUGUUCGGAAUCACUGGGCGUAAAGGGCGCGUAGGCGGCCUGAGGUGUCGGCUGUGAAAGCCCGGGGCUCAACCCCGGAGGUGCAUCCGAAACUCUUGGGCUGGAGGUCGGAAGAGGAGGGUGGAAUACCCAGUGUAGAGGUGAAAUUCGUAGAUAUUGGGUGGAACACCGGUGGCGAAAGCGGCUCUCUGGUCCGAACCUGACGCUGAGGCGCGAAAGCGUGGGGAGCAAACAGG
rnacentral:rRNA from 1 species